UGGAUUAGGAUACAGGGGAGGAAGCAUCUAUUACAGACUUGGUUUAAAAAAGUCAGAAAAGGUAUCUAUGUAACUGGGUUCCAACAAAUACUGCUGAAUCUGGCCGCCUGACCCUUACUCAACCUCAUGAGACUAUAAAGUUUGAGACACAUUAAUUCAUCUCUUGUUCAACUGAAGGUUUACCCAGAGAGAUUAAGUUCACUCGCUACAAAGAAGUUAUAAAGUAACCGAAUGUGGGCAAUUUUGGAUUAACAUGAAACAAUGCUUUUCUUUCAGAAUCACUUGGGGAGACCAAAAUUAAGUCACAGUGGAAGACAAAAGCCGGGGCAACAGGAAUCCUGAACGAGGCAGAAAGAGGAGCUGACCAGAGAGGGGCCUGCCGCUAAAUCACACCGUCAAAACCUCCUGCCUGGCUCCACUGCUGCAACUUAUCUACCUGCGGCCUGAUCUCCCGCGAGACCCUCCCUUGCACCUCCAUCCCUGGCACUGACCCCUUUGUGCCUCUUCAUCCCCUGAUUAAACUCCCCUCUCCUGAGCAGCUA